CACGUAGGGCGCAAGCGUUAUCCGGAAUUAUUGGGCGUAAAGAGCUCGUAGGCGGUUUGUCGCGUCUGCCGUGAAAGUCCGGGGCUCAACUCCGGAUCUGCGGUGGGUACGGGCAGACUAGAGUGAUGUAGGGGAGACUGGAAUUCCUGGUGUAGCGGUGAAAUGCGUAGAUAUCUGGAGGAACACCGGUGGCGAAGGCGGCAUCCUGGACCAUGACUGACGCUGAGGAGCGAAAGCCAGGGGAGCAAACGGG
rnacentral:rRNA from 1 species